GACGAACGCUGGCGGCGUGCCUAAUACAUGCAAGUAGAACGCACAGUUUAUACCGUAGCUUGCUACACCAUAAACUGUGAGUUGCGAACGGGUGAGUAACGCGUAGGUAACCUGCCUGGUAGCGGGGGAUAACUAUUGGAAACGAUAGCUAAUACCGCAUAAUAUUGAUUAUUGCAUGAUAAUUGAUUGAAAGAUGCUAUUGCAUCACUACCAGAUGGACCUGCGUUGUAUUAGCUAGUAGGUGAGGUAACGGCUCACCUAGGCGACGAUACAUAGCCGACCUGAGAGGGUGAUCGGCCACACUGGGACUGAGACACGGCCCAGACUCCUACGGGAGGCAGCAGUAGGGAAUCUUCGGCAAUGGACGAAAGUCUGACCGAGCAACGCCGCGUGAGUGAAGAAGGGUUUCGGAUCGUAAAGAUCUGUUGUAAGAGAAGAACGGGUGUGAGAGUGGAAAGUUCACACUGUGACGGUAUCUUACCAGAAAGGGACGGCUAACUACGUG
rnacentral:rRNA from 1 species